GGCUGGCCCCGGAGCAGUGGUGCCUACAGUUAACUGAUCACAACCAGUUACAGAUUUGUUAAAAUUCCUUCUCCUCUCCCAUGGCUUCACUGGACUAGCCCAAA
ensembl:Y_RNA Y_RNA Y RNA